rnacentral:lncRNA from 1 species
CGUGUCUGUGCCCUCGACCUCGGCAGUGAGAGAUUUGCCAUUGAGUCCUCCGAAGAAGAGACUAAAGAGAGGGCAUCCAGAGUUUUCAAUUGUUAGUGUACCAGUAACGGCGACGUCUGCAACGGGUACCCGCUCAAAAUCGCGCACAUCCGUUCACAUCGAGGAAGACUGCACAUCACAAGUUGUUGAUGCGUCGUCCACUGAUGUUGGCCCUUCAUGUUCGACAAGUUCGGA